rnacentral:rRNA from 1 species
GACGAACGCUGGCGGCGUGCCUAAUACAUGCAAGUAGAACGCUGAAGGAGGAGCUUGCUUCUCUGGAUGAGUUGCGAACGGGUGAGUAACGCGUAGGUAACCUGCCUGGUAGCGGGGGAUAACUAUUGGAGACGAUAGCUAAUACCGCAUAAUAGUAGAUGUUGCAUGACAUUUGCUUAAAAGGUGCAAUUGCAUCACUACCAGAUGGACCUGCGUUGUAUUAGCUAGUUGGUGAGGUAACGGCUCACCAAGGCAACGAUACAUAGCCGACCUGAGAGGGGGGUCGGCCACACUGGGACUGAGACACGGCCCAGACUCCUACGGGAGGCAGCAGUAGGGAAUCUUCGGCCAUGGACGGAAGUCUGACCGAGCAACGCCGCGUGAGUGAAGAAGGUUUUCGGAUCGUAAAGCUCUGUUGUAAGGGAAGAACGAGUGUGAGAGUGGAAAGUUCACACUGUGACGGUAUCUGACCAGAAAGGGACGGCUAACUACGUG